UCCCCUAAUGCCUCCUCCAUCAAUACUCAAAAUUGUCACGUUGGUCUCCAUUGUUUUUUUUAGUGAUCAAUCAGAGCUAAAAGAAUCGUUCUAAGAGAGGUAAAGAAGAGAAACUUUAGUGAUCAAUCAGAGCUAAAAGAAUCGUUCUAAGAGAGGUAAAGAAGUGAAACUUUAGUGAUCAAUAACAAAAUUCAAUUGUAUAUAUAGGAAAAUUCCAUCCCAAAUAGCAGGGGAUUCGGAUUCAAAUGUUACUUUUAUGAAAAUAAUAAAUUGUAAAACUUAACUAAGAAACUUUAAAUUUGGAAACUUUCAACAGGAAAAUAAUUAAAAAUUAAUAUCACAAGUCUUUCCAAAACUACCCAACAAAAUAGAGAACCAAAAACCCACGUGCGGACUAGUAGAAAGAAAAGUGUUAGCGAUUCCUAUCAGGAAAGGAAUUGGUUGGAAACAAAGAGUGUUAGCGAUUCCUAUCAGGAAAGGAAUUGGUUGGAAACAAAAAUAAAAGGUUUUUCCCUUUAAUAUCACUCGUCUUAAUUACCCAAUUUACAUGACACAUCUUCUUUUUUAAUCAAUCCCCCAAAAAAUAACACAUUUCCUAAUUGUCAACGAUUUAACUUUAAACUUUACCUUUUACAUUUAACGAGAUGAUUUAUAAUCACACAAAUAUCUUUGACUUGUUUUAGACCACAAGAUUCAAAAGUCUUCCUUUAUUUCUUAAACUCCGUACCCAGUCAAACUAAUCACAUAAAUUAGGAAGGAGUGAGUAGUAAUAGUGACAUCACUGAAAAAUAAAACAAUAUAGACAAACAUAAGAUUUUUGAGACCAAUUAAAUUCAUAUCACAGUUUGUACUCUCUUUUGUCCUAAUUUAUGUGACACUUUUUGUUUUUUAAGAUUCAAUGUUUUUAGUUUUGAUCUUGUGUUUGAAUAUAAAAUCUUUAAAUUCUUCAAAAUAAAAUUUCUAUAUUUGGAAACUAAGUAAAAAAUAUUAUUACUCAUAAUAAUUAAUAAUUUAAAAUAUUUAAAAGGCAUGUGCCCAAAAGGCAUUUUUUGCGGUUAAAAAAUGGCUAUAUGGCAUACUUCUCCCUUUAAACAGCUUUAGGAUUACAACUUACAAGAUACUUAAAAGGAAACUGAAAACAUCGGCCCACAUUAAGCUUGACCUAAUAUUACAAUUUUUUGGGCGCAUUGGCCUUCUUUUGGGGUGCUCUUUAAUUUUUGUCUCUCAAAUCGGUGGUUUUUAAUUUUUGUCCUUUAUUUAAUAUUUUGCGGUUCUGAGUUUGAACCCAGCUCAGUAAAAAGAAAGAAAAUUUGCAAAGCAAAGAUUUGGAUUCACAAGGCAGAAUUUUGCGAUUUUUUUUAAUUUUAGACUGAGCGGAGUUCGAACCCGAAACAAGAGGUUUGAAGGGCAAAAAUUACAUUUUUUUUUGCACGGAUUAUCCUUCAUUUGGGGUGGUCUUUAAGUUUUGCACUUUAUCUAAUACUCCAAGGUUGUGGGUUCGAAAAAAAAUUCGCAAGACAGAAUUUUGCUUCAAAACUCAACCUUAAGACAGAAAUGCAAAUUCUGCCUCAAGGCUGAGUUUUGAAGGCAAAACUUUAUCUUGUGAAUUUUUAAAUUUUUUUAACGGUGCAGGGAUUCAAAUUCGAAACCUUGAGAUUUUUAGCUAAGGGUAAGAAUUAAAGACUAUAAAUUUGAGGGAUAAAAAUUAAAGACCACCCAAAAUAAGGAAAUUCAUGCGAAUUGCCCCUAAUAUUAUGCGAUUAAAAAAGCCCACAAUUACGCCUAUUUUUCAGAGCUAUUAAUAUAGAACCCUUUAUAAAAGCCUCACAUUGCCCCUUUAUACUUCUUCAGAAAAUUUGGGCUUUCCUCCAUAGAAGGUCAGGUUUUACACCUCCCACUUCUAUUUAUCGUAAUAUUAUUUUACUAAUGUUGAUAGUUGAAGAAUAUCCUUUAGAGUGACAAUUGGCUGGGAAAUGUUCUAUUAAAGGAUCUCUUCCUAUAUUUGUAUAAUUUUUACUUUUCUCCUUGGUGUUAUAAUAAGGGAGUUCAGGGGCAACAAGAACGUAAUCUAAGCUUUAGAAGUUGCUGAAUGAUAGAUAGACAGGGAGAGUUGAAUUUUUCAAACAUCUAGAAUUGUUUCAACGAACAAAUAAUUGUGAAGAUUCAUUGAUGCAACAAAAAAACUUAACAGUAAAAACUGUUAUGAUAUUCUUUCAUUAAUGGAGGCCAAGGCAACUCGUGGCUUUGGAAACAAAUCUGAAAACUAAGCUCCCCUUUGGCCAUAACUUGAAACGAGAAAAUUUGAGUUUUUGAAGUUGUGUUUGAACAUGCAUUUUACUUGGAAAAAGUUUGAAGUUGAGUGGAAGUGAAUUUUUUCCUAAAAAUUGGUCUGAGCUAGUUUUUGGAAUUUGAAUAGUUUUUGGAAUUUGAAUAUAUUUUGAAGAUAAAUUUUCAAAAUCUGAUCCAAAAUCUAUGGCCAAACGCUAGCUAAAAUUCCUUGUAAGAUGGUUCUUUUCAAUUAGUGGAUGGCUAAGCAAGCUUGUCUUAAUCUGGAUAUGUGCUCCAAAUGUUAUUUUUGUAAAGCAAGAAUAGAGAGUAAGCAGUCAUAUAUUUUUACAUUGUGGGAUCUCUGAUCAAUGACGGCAGUUGUUUCUUAGCAUGGUUGGACUCAAUGGUGUAUGCCUAGAACUACAAAGGAAUUGUUGAGUUGCUUGGACAAUGCAAGUGGCAGUUUGAGACAAAACACGGUGAAUUUUUUUCUUAACAGCAUUUGGUGGACGAUAUGAAAAAACAGAAAUGAAAGGUGUCUGGAAGAUAGAUGCAGCUCAUUACAAAACAUUAAGAUGAAUUGUAUUUUGUUAUUCACUUUUGGUGUAAAGAAAAGUAUUUUGAUGAAGCUGAAUCAUUCAUAGAAAUAGAAUCCCUGUAAGCUGAGCAUGAUAUGGUUUUUCUUUUUCCAUCUUUUGUAACUUGUAAAUAUGGUUAACGACACUAUCUUUGUGCUGCUGAUUAAUAUAUUGUUACCUAUGUCAAAAA